rnacentral:rRNA from 1 species
GUAGGGAAUCUUCGGCAAUGGACGAAAGUCUGACCGAGCAACGCCGCGUGAGUGAAGAAGGUUUUCGGAUCGUAAAACUCUGUUGGUAGAGAAGAACGUUGGUGAGAGUGGAAAGCUCAUCAAGUGACGGUAACUACCCAGAAAGGGACGGCUAACGACGUGCCAGCAGCCGCGGUAAUACGUAGGUCCCGAGCGUUGUCCGGAUUUAUUGGGCGUAAAGCGAGCGCAGGUGGUUUAUUAAGUCUGGUGUAAAAGGCAGUGGCUCAACCAUUGUAUGCAUUGGAAACUGGUAGACUUGAGUGCAGGAGAGGAGAGUGGAAUUCCAUGUGUAGCGGUGAAAUGCGUAGAUAUAUGGAGGAACACCGGAGGCGAAAGCGGCUCUCUGGCCUGUAACUGACACUGAGGCUGGAAAGCGUGGGGAGCAAACAGGAUUAGAAACCCCGGUAGUCC